UGGGGAAUAUUUGCGCAAUGGGCGAAAGCCUGACGCAGCGACGCCGCGUGAGGGAUGAAGGCCUUCGGGUUGUAAACCGCUUUCAGCAGGGAAGAAGCGAAAGUGACGGUACCUGCAGAAGAAGCACCGGCUAACUACGUUGCCAGCAGCCGCGGUAAUA
rnacentral:rRNA from 1 species